GUCUUCGAGUCGUUGAUUUCACACUGCCGAGAAAAGCCUCUAGAUAGAAAAUAGGUGCCCGUACCGCAAACCGACACAGGUAGUCAAGAUGAGAAUUCUAAGGUGAGCGAGCGAACUCUCGUUAAGGAACUCGGCAAAAUGACCCCGUAACUUCGGGAGAAGGGGUGCUCUUUAGGGUUAACGCCCAGAAGAGCCGCAGUGAAUAGGCCCAAGCGACUGUUUAUCAAAAACACAGGUCUCUGCUAAACCGUAAGGUGAUGUAUAGGGGCUGACGCCUGCCCGGUGCUGGAAGGUUAAGAGGAGUGGUUAGCUUCUGCGAAGCUACGAAUCGAAGCCCCAGUAAACGGCGGCCGUAACUAUAACGGUCCUAAGGUAGCGAAAUUCCUUGUCGGGUAAGU
rnacentral:rRNA from 1 species